CUUACCGUACGGUGCAGGCAUCGGAUCUUUCGCCGGAUUCUUGAUUGAUUUUUCGUCCUCUUCUCUGCCUCUGUUACGAAUUCUUCUUUUUCUCUACUCGCGGUUCUGUUCUGAUCUCUUCUUCUCCCUGCGUUUUCUGUGUUUUGGUUGCAGAGACUGAGGUAGAGUGAAUUCUAGCUCGACCAAUCAAAGCUUCAACGUGGAGCUUUGAUGGCUUUGUCUCAGAGCUUUGGUAAGGGUGGAAUGGUGGUGAAGAUGCGGAAUAGAAGAUGGAAACUGGAAGAUGCAGGUUGAGAGUGAUGAUUGAAGAAGAGUUCUUGGACCGAUUCACGGUGGUUGAAGGUUUGUUACAGGUGGAAGAAGAAGCUGGAAAAGUUUGUUAGAGGUUGAAGGAUUGAGGGCAAAAACGAUUUUGGAAUGAGAGGGAAAAUUUUCUGAAACCAAUGAUUGGCAAUGAUUGCAGCUUAUAUAGCAGGAUCUAAGGGGCAAAUCGGAGAAUUAAAUCUGAAAUGAUUCAAUCUGCACCAUCCAGCUGGCAUUAAGUGAAGGACACAUGCUGUCAUGGAAUUGGUAUUGCACAUCGUCCGCUUUGCACUACAGCGGUCAAGCCAAGGAUUACAAAGGUUAGGCUUUGAAGCCUCAUUGCCGGUUGCAUUCGGGUUGAGAUGGCCUUGCUGCAAGCAUCGUGUUCCCAUAUGAUGGCAGGGCUCGGAGCAAUUCAGUCUCGGUUCCAAUUGCUGAUUACUCGCAAAGGAUUCUCGUAAGGUGACUCAGUUGUAAGCUUUUCAGCAAAAGCAGACGUAGCAGUUUCAAACUUUCUUCAACAGGACGCCAUCCAGGUCGAAUGGCAUGCUGGACAAGACGAAGGCUAAGUGGUGCGAAUCCGGAGAAGACAUGAACAACAUCAUUGGGGGGUUGGCUGUAUCGGUAUCUUCAACCACAAGCUCCAGAGUACAUUUUAUAGCAGCUUGGCGCUCAUGCAAUUGAUUCAAGGAUCAUGAUGGUGUUUGAAGGCCCGAUUAAUGAUCGAGACUAACGGCAUAGCAGGUCUGCAACCAGCAGGUAAUCGCUGUCAUUCUGCGACACGACUACGACCUUAGGUUCAUGGCCCGCACAGAUAGGAUGCGUUGGCUGGUGGGAUGGUUUUGCCAGUGUGUAUUGCAAUGUUGACCUGGUUGUCGGAAUUGCGGCGUUUAGCUCAGUUCUGAAGCUCUGUUAUUGAGGUGGUCGGCAUUCCGGACAGAGAGCUUUCAGCUUAUCCUGUGGCAGCUUGCGGUUCUCUCGGCAGCACUGGCAGCUUAUGCUUUCCCUUUUUUCAAUUCCUUGGCUCAUGUAAACCACUGUUUGGAUAACAUAUCAAGGAUUGCAUUAUGUAACGGUUGGGAUGGCAUUGACUUAAUCCCCAUGGUACUGUUUCAGUGUAAUUUGAAGAAUUAGGAUAAAAUAUAAUGAAUAUGUAAUGCUAUUGUCAUUAGUAAGAAUGGUUAUUUGAAUUUGCUUGUAGAAUUUUGAUAAUGGUUUUGGAAUGUAUGUAAUAUGGCAAUGUUUGGAAUUUGGUUGUACAAUUAUGGAUGAAAUGAAUGUUAUGAAUGAAUGCUAUUGGCGA